rfam:Zootermopsis nevadensis contig18911, whole genome shotgun sequence.
GCCACGGUGGUCUAGCGGUUAGAACGCUGGCCUUGUAAUCCUGGGGUCUCGGGUUUGAUUCCCGGCGGUGCCC